rnacentral:rRNA from 1 species
AGAGUUUGAUCCUGGCUCAGGACGAACGCUGGCGGCGCGCCUAACACAUGCAAGUCGAACGAGCGAGAGAGAGCUUGCUUUCUCAAGCGAGUGGCGAACGGGUGAGUAACGCGUGAGGAACCUGCCUCAAAGAGGGGGACAACAGUUGGAAACGACUGCUAAUACCGCAUAAGCCCACAGGUCGGCAUCGACCAGAGGGAAAAGGAGCAAUCCGCUUUGAGAUGGCCUCGCGUCCGAUUAGCUAGUUGGUGAGGUAACGGCCCACCAAGGCAACGAUCGGUAGCCGGACUGAGAGGUUGAACGGCCACAUUGGGACUGAGACACGGCCCAGACUCCUACGGGAGGCAGCAGUGGGGAAUAUUGCACAAUGGGGGAAACCCUGAUGCAGCGACGCCGCGUGGAGGAAGAAGGUCUUCGGAUUGUAAACUCCUGUUGUUGAGGAAGAUAAUGACGGUACUCAACAAGGAAGUGACGGCUAACUACGUGCCAGCAGCCGCGGUAAAACGUAGGUCACAAGCGUUGUCCGGAAUUACUGGGUGUAAAGGGAGCGCAGGCGGGAAGACAAGUUGGAAGUGAAAUCUAUGGGCUCAACCCAUAAACUGCUUUCAAAACUGUUUUUCUUGAGUAGUGCAGAGGUAGGCGGAAUUCCCGGUGUAGCGGUGGAAUGCGUAGAUAUCGGGAGGAACACCAGUGGCGAAGGCGGCCUACUGGGCACCAACUGACGCUGAGGCUCGAAAGUGUGGGUAGCAAACAGGAUUAGAUACCCUGGUAGU